AUAUAGUUCGUGAUACAUUUUAUCUUAAACAAUCAUCACACGUAGAAUUUCGAACAGCAAGAAUAUUGUUAUAAGCACACUGAAUUACUGGAACAACACAAUACAAUUACAUUAUACAUACCGUUAAUCACACCCGUUUGAUUUUCUUUAAGCACUUGUGGUGCAGGAUUGAGUUCAAACUGGAAGACUAUUUGAAGCCCCGCCCACGCCUUUGUCACAUAAGGCUGCCAUUGGAGGCGAGACUUCAGCUUCCCAAAUGUUUGCGUGACUGAGAAUUUGUGAAGAAGAAACCGCAAGCUUAGAAGAAGGCCCAAACAUAUUUUGAUGCUGUAACUGUUGUCGUUGUUGAUACACGAACACGUUUUCAUUGAGCAAGGAAUCCAGAAAUGAGGAGAAAGUGUCCUCAUUUCCAAUAUCUUCAAUGAAAUCAUCUUCAUUUUUUCGUCCA